UAAGCAAGUCGGCGACGACGACGACUUCCGCCGCCGGCUUCCUAUAAAAUCGGCGCGCCUCUCGUCUCCUCCGCCCCACUCCAUCGUCAUCGUCAGCUGCCUACCUACCUACCUCCCUCCCUCCAGCCGAGGAAUCAUCAAAAAACAAAUGCCACUGUGAUUGUGCUUGUGCGCGAGCCAAGGAGAAAGGGGGGGAGGGGAUCGACGACGAUGCGGAUGCGGGCGCGGGACCUGCACCCGCUCUGCUGCCUCCCCGUGGACUGCCCCGGCGGGUGGUGCGCCGACCGCUCCCCGUCCUCGCCCCCGCCCGCGCCGGCGCCGGCCGCCGUGGCCGGGCUGCUCCACAAGUGGACCAACAUCGGCAAGGGCUGGCGCCCGCGCUGGUUCGCCAUCCUCCGCGGCGGCCUCCUCGCCUACUCCAAGAUCCGUCCCCGCGCCGCCGGCUCCCCGACCCCUUCGGCGCCCGCGCCGGAGGACGGCCGCCCCAGGCUGAUCGGCCCCGCCGGGUACGCCGCCGCCGCCCCCGAGGACCGCCCCAUUGGGCUCGUGCACCUCAAGAUAUCAUCAUUCCGUGAAAGUAAAUCAGACGAUAAGCGGUUCUAUAUAAUUACUCCAACCAAGACGCUUCAGCUGAGAACCAACUCAGUUAAGGAUCGUGUGGCUUGGAUUGAAGCCCUUGUUUCUGCGAGAAGUGAAUCUUCUCCCAAUGGAGUCUUACUGUAUGACCAGAAUGAUGCAUCCUUUUCUACAGACAGGCUUAGAAAUCGUAUGCAUGCUGAAGGUCUUGGUGAAGAGGUUAUUAAAGACUGUGAGCAGAUUGUCCAUUCAGAAUUCUUGCAGUAUUAUACACAGAUGAAACAACGUUGUGAAGAGUAUUUGAGCUUUCUUGGCAGUCUUCCACAACAGCUUGAGGUACUUAAUGAACAAGAUACUACACACUCUAUCAGACCUGAAUGUUCCUGCUCUGGACAUGGAAAAUGUUGUGAGAGCAGCAACACGGAAUCAUCCGAUGAUGCUGGGAUUCAGGAGUUAGAUGAAUCGUCAGAUGAAGAUGACUAUAACUUCUGUGAUACAAGACAAAGUUUCAGUGAUUCUGCUGCGAGUCCUGACAUGAGGAUGAAGCAUUCAAAUUCGAGCAACGAUGUCCAGCAAUACAAUCAUAAUUUUGUAGAAUCAAGAUCUGGCAAGGGAGAGAAUGAAUGUUUAUUGCUGCCACCAAAACGCCGCACAAAGUUGCCCGAACCAGUUGAAAAGGAGAAGGGCGUUAGUCUUUGGUCAAUGAUCAAGGACAAUGUUGGAAAAGAUCUGACGCGGGUCUGCCUGCCUGUUUACUUUAAUGAACCGAUUUCAUCUCUUCAAAAAUGCUUUGAAGACUUGGAAUAUUCUCAUUUGUUGGACCAUGCAUAUGAUUAUGGCCUAAAGGGCAACAGUGUGAUGAGAACUCUAUGUGUUGCUGCAUUCGCUGUCUCUGGGUAUGCUUCCUCUGAUGGCCGGCCCUGCAAACCUUUUAAUCCUUUGCUAGGGGAAACUUAUGAAGCUGAUUUUCCUGAAAAUGGAAUCCGUUUCUUCUCAGAAAAGGUUAGUCAUCAUCCAAUGGUCAUGGCCUGUCAUUGUGAAGGAAGAGGAUGGAAAUUUUGGGGAGAGAGCAAUGUAAAGAGCAAAUUCUGGGGACAAACAAUUCAGCUUGAUCCUGUUGGUGUUUUAACAUUAGAAUUCGAUGAUGGAGAAAUUUUCAAAUGGAGCAAGGUUACAACAACCAUUAAUAACCUUAUCAUCGGUAGACUUUAUUGCCAUCAUCAUGGGACGAUGAAAAUAAGUGGGAACAGACAACAUUCAUGCAAGCUUACCUUUAAACAGCAGUCGUUUCUUGAACGUAACCCUCGACAGUCCUAUGCAAGGUUCAAGGAGUUGUUGAGGAUAUUGGCGGUACCAAGGUUGCUACCCUAAGGGGAAAGUGGGACGAGAGCUUGUACUGCAAUGUUACUAAUGACGGAGUAAAUUCCAGUGCUGAAUCCACUCUGCUGUGGGAGAAACAUGAGCCUCCAACUAAUCCCACACGAUACAAUUUGUCAUCAUUUGCUAUAACCCUAAACGAGCUGACUCCAAAUCUCAAGGAGAAACUUCCUCCAACAGAUUCAAGGCUCAGACCGGAUCAGCGACACCUAGAGAAUGGGGAGUACGAUAAAGCCAACUCUGAGAAGCUACGGUUGGAGACAAGGCAACGGAUGGCACGGAAAAUGCAGGAUAAUGGAUGGAAACCGAGAUGGUUCGACAGGGACACCGAAGACGGAGCGUUCCACUACACCGGCGGUUACUGGGAGGCGAGAGAGCAGAGGAAAUGGGAUGGCUGCCGCGAUAUAUUCGGUGAAUUGCCCGACAAGAAAACUUAUCCGGUUCCCGCUAGUGUGGGUAUAUAGCUCAAUUAUGUAGCAGCUAUUCCAUUUCCACCAAAUAGGUGUUAGCGUGAAAAGUAUUACUGAAAAUAUAUACUACAACUACUAGCUGGCUUUCCCAAUCCUCAUUGUGGAGAGAUGAGCUCAUUCAUCUCCCCUGUAUGUAAACAAAUACUAUGACAUACGACUAUGGACAUUAUAAAAUGUGUCUGUGUCCACAGGCUUGCAAGAUGUAGUAGGUGCUAUAGCUUGUGGUUGUUAAACCUAGAUUGUCAAUAAUAAUAUUCUUCUUUAGCUGUA